rfam:Cryptococcus amylolentus CBS 6039 supercont1.14, whole genome shotgun sequence.
UUUCCGUUAGCUCAGAGGUCUAGAGCUGUGUGCUUAUGCGGUUACCAUUUCUCACACCGGUCGAGGGUUCGACUCCCCCACGGAAAA